GGCGAGUUCGUGGCCCAGUUCAAGUUCACGGUGCUGCUGAUGCCCAACGGCCCCAUGAGGAUCACGAGCGGCCCCUUCGAGCCCGAGCUCUACAAAUCCGACCUGGAGGUGCAGGACGGGGAGCUCAAGGCCCUUCUACAAAGCUCCGCCAGCCGCAAGACCCAGAAAAAGAAGAAAAAGAAGGCUUCCAAAAACGCGGAAAACGCCACCACGGGGGAGACGGCGGAGGAGAACGAGGCCGGCGACUGAGAAAUCGCUUUGGAGUUCUCAAAUCGCUCCUUUUUUCCCCAAAAAAACAAACAAACAAACAAAAAAAAUCCCCACAAAAAAACAAAAUUCCAUCCGGAAACGAAAUAAUCUGGCGUUGGUCCGGACAUAAAUUCCAGUCUGGAAUUCCCACAGAAUCCCAACAGCUCCCGUUGAUUUUGCCAAGGAGGGAGGAAUCUCUCGGUCACUUCAGAUUUUUAAAAGCGAAAAAAUAAUAAUAAUAAUAAUAAUAAUAAUAAAAAACAUCCCCAAAAGAGCAGCAAAAAAAAAAAAUAAUAAUAAUAAAAAUUAGGAGUGGAAAUCGCUAUUAAA